CCUANGGGGGGCUGCAGUGGGGAAUAUUGGACAAUGGGCGCAAGCCUGAUCCAGCCAUGCCGCGUGCGUGAAGAAGGCCUUCGGGUUGUAAAGCACUUUUGUUGGGGAAGAAAAGCAGCCGGUCAAUACCCGGUUGUUCUGACGGUACCCAAAGAAUAAGCACCGGCUAACUUCGUGCCAGCAGCCGCGGUAAUACGAAGGGUGCAAGCGUUACUCGGAAUUACUGGGCGUAAAGCGUGCGUAGGUGGUUUGUUAAGUCAGAUGUGAAAGCCCCGGGCUCAACCUGGGAAUUGCAUUUGAUACUGGCAGACUAGAGUGCGGUAGAGGAGAGUGGAAUUCCCGGUGUAGCAGUGAAAUGCGUAGAGAUCGGGAGGAACAUCAGUUGCGAAGGCGGCUCUCUGGACCAGCACUGACACUGAGGCACGAAAGCGUGGGGAGCAAACAGGAUUAGAUACCCUGNUANUC
rnacentral:rRNA from 1 species